rnacentral:rRNA from 1 species
GUGCCAGCAGCCGCGGUAAUACGGAGGGUGCGAGCGUUGUCCGGAAUCACUGGGCGUAAAGGGCGCGUAGGCGGCCCGGUAAGUAGGGGGUGAAAUCUUGCGGCUCAACCGCAAGGCUGCCUCCUAGACUGCCAGGCUCGAGCACAGUAGAGGCAGGUGGAAUUCCCGGUGUAGCGGUGGAAUGCGUAGAGAUCGGGAAGAACAUCAGUGGCGAAGGCGGCCUGCUGGGCUGUUGCUGACGCUGAGGCGCGACAGCGUGGGGAGCAAACAGGAUUAGAUACCCCCGUAGUCC